rnacentral:rRNA from 1 species
CUACGGGUGGCACCAGUGGGGAAUAUUGGACAAUGGGGGAAACCCUGAUCCAGCAAUGCCGCGUGUGUGAAGAAGGCCUGCGGGUUGUAAAGCACUUUCGGUUGGGAGGACUGCUUCUAGCACUAAUAUUGUUGGAAGUUGACGUUACCUUCAGAAGAAGCACCGGCUAACUCCGUGCCAGCAGCCGCGGUAAUACGGAGGUGCAAGCGUUAAUCGGAAUUACUGGGCGUAAAGCGCGCGUAGGCGGCUAGAUCAGUCGGGUGUGAAAGCCCCGGGCUUAACCUGGGAACUGCAUCCGAUACUGUCUAGCUUGAGUACAGGAGAGGAGAGUGGAAUUCCACAUGUAGCGGUGAAAUGCGUAGAUAUGUGGAGGAACACCAAUGGCGAAGGCAGCUCUCUGGCCUGAUACUGACGCUGAGGUGCGAAAGCGUGGGGAGCAAGCAGGAUUAGAUACCCCGGUAGUC